UAGGGUGGGGCGAUCCAUAAGACGACUUUGGUCUCGGGACCGACUUGAGAGUAUUUUAAUCAUCUAGUACAACACGUGCAGCUAUUCGGUGAACCCAUAUUCGAAACUACUCGGAUUGCUUAUAUUUACUAUUUUAUUUUACAGAGUUAAUAUUUAAGAGUCGUUAAGUGUGAACAAAUAAUAAGUUUUUAACGUGAUUGAGUUAUAACAUCUGGCAGGUGUUAAAAAAUUAAAAAGUUUAUUUUUAAGAUGUACUUUUAAAAAUAUUAAGUGAUAAAAUAAGGCAAUGUAGAAGUUUUUAUAGCGACCCUUAAGUAGGAGUCAAAAUGGCAAAUAUUAAAGUGGCUGUAAGAGUAAGACCGAUAUCCAACAGAGAAAUAAAUGUAACAGGAGCGGAAAUAGUUGUUCAUACAGAGCCACAAAAAAUUUCUUUGACAAAUCUUAAAGUUUCGUCAAGCAAAACCGCUGACAGCCGGACUCGCAUUAAGAGAUACAGUUUUGAUUACUGUUUCGAUUCUUCCGAUCCAACUGCUGAGAAUUAUGCAAGUCAAGAAAAAAUUUAUGAUACACUUGGAAAUUCGGUUAUUGAUGCUCUCUUCGUUGGAUACAAUUCUUGUGUCGUUGCAUAUGGACAAAGUGCGUCAGGAAAAACUUUUACAAUGAUGGGAGUCAAAGAUGAUCCAGGAUUAAUACCAAGAAUCUGCAGUGGUUUGUUUACUCGAGCGGCUGAUGAAAUAGAAAAUGGAAAAAAGCUUCAUAUAUUUGUCAGUUAUCUAGAGGUUUACAAUGAACGAGUCAGAGAUCUUCUCGAACCUUCAACAAGUCCAAAUAACUUAAGAGUUCGAGAACAUCCACGAUCAGGUCCUUACGUUCAAGGACUGAGCCAACAUUCAGUUGAAACUUUGAGUUCAUUAAUGUCUCGCGUCGAAGAGGGUACAAAAGCCCGUAAAACAGCUUCAACUUUACAGAAUCACACAAGCAGCCGCAGUCACGCAUUACUCACACUCUCGUUGGAAUCCAGCGAUAGUGCGGUUUCCGGACAAGUUAUUUUAAAAGCCUCGGGGGCAUCACGGAAAACGGAUUUUUCUCGUGGCUGUAAAUUACACUUGGUCGACCUGGCGGGCAGUGAAAAUUCAGCUGCCUGUGCUGGAAUAAAUCGUCUAAAAUCACAGGAAGGAGCCAAUAUUAAUAAAAGCUUAGUUGCUUUGGGUAAUGUAAUAUCUGCAUUAGCGGAAAGAAGUUCUGCGUCUAUAAAUUCCGGAAGGAAAUUUAUCCCCUAUAGGGAUUCAACUCUCACCUGGUUACUUAAAGAUUCUUUGGGCGGAAAUGCAACGACAAUUAUGCUGGCGACGAUAUCGCCAGCUAGUGGAAGCUAUAACGAAACGUCACACACUUUACGGUUCGCACAAAGGGCACAAAGCGUUAUUAAUAAGCCAGUUAUUAACGAGGAUCCGGUAACUAAAAUAAUACGUGAACUUCAGUCAGAAGUAUCACGACUUAAAGCUCUUCUUGCUGAGAAGAAUGAUCCGUUAACUGAUUGCAAGUCUUUGUGCAUUUGUCAAAGGAAUCCUGAUCAGACAGUUGAGCAAACAAAUUUAAAUACCAGAUGUGUGUCAACAUCAACAUCACAAUCACCGAUAGAAUCAAAUUCUCUUUCGAAAUUCCCUUACCCUUUGAGACGAUACAGUUUUGAUGAUGGUUUGAGACUAAGAUGUGACUCAUUAAAGGCGUUAAGACAAUUUGGAUCGUUGGAAUUUGUUCCAGCCACAAAUAAUGCACAAACUUUACAAGUUUCGGCAAGUUAUAAUAGAGCUAAAGUAUCUGAAUUAAUCGAUGAUGAUGAUCAAGCCGAUGAACCAGUCUUUGUUGAUAUACCGACUUUGGUUGCUGUUCUUAUUAAACCCGACACAAGCGUUCAAGUAGACACUCAUCAAAUUGAGGAAAUUUCAAGUGAUAGUGUACUUGAAGAUACCGUUGAUACUGAAUUUAAUCAGGACAUUGAACAUCACUUUGCAAAUUUAGUCGAUGAUCGAGUCGAAAAUAAUUCAAAUGAUUCUGUUAAAUCUUUGUCAGUAUUCAAAGAAAUUACAGACAAUUGUAAUAAACAGCCUAGUUCGCUUGAUACUCGGUAUCCGAAUUUGAAAAUUCUUACAGAAAAGUCGUCGAAAAAUAAUAAAUUACAAAAACAGUAUUCGGUUGAUUCAAAUUUUGGUUUACAAGCAUCAUCUGUUUCGAAGAUUUUACAAAAAUACAUUUCUAAUGUUUCAAGAAGAGUACCUCAAGAAUAUGAUUUUCCUCGAAUUUUAUCAACUGAUUCAGAGGCACAAGCUAAUUCUCAAGAAGAAAAAUCUGAAGAACUAAUCCAUGUUAGAGAAGACGAUGAUCUAAAAGAAAAUAAAAAUCUUGACAAGAAUCCGGAAAAUCGAGGAAAUGAAAAAUCAACGAAAGAACUACACAAUCCAAAGGCUUGUAUUCAGAGAAAACAAAGUAUUGAUGGUUUGAAGAGAAAAACAAGCAAAGAUAGCAGUUAUAGUAGUUUGAAGGACGAACAAUUAUUUAUAUCUGGAACCUCAAAAGAAUCUCUGAAACGUAAAAAUUCAUUAGAUCCAGAGCAAUUGCAACCGAGACCACAUACGAUAAUACAACGCGCACGCAGAGCUGAAAUAGUUGCUGCAGUUACAGAAAGGCUCUACGCGAGCAAGAAGACACCCGAGGACAGCAAUACGGCAUCAACGCCAGCCUCGGAUAUUCGCUCACCAGAGAAUUCUGAAGUAAAACUUGCCUCGGUGACGAGGAUGCGACUUCAAGAAAUCUCAAGAAAAAUGUUAGCCAAACGCCGACGUAUUUGUGUUGAUACCCAAACAGAUAUUUCCUCUACUGUUCGUGUACGAGAAAUUGGAAUUUUAGUUAAAGAACCUAAAAUAAUUCGUAAAGACGUUGCUGUUCUUACUGAUCGUCACGAGGAUUUCGAUAAAUUGCUGCCAUGUAGCACUCCCGUUUUAAGAAUAAAAGAAAUGUCAACGUCUACAAGAGAAUCACCACCUCCUAAACCAAUUAUUCUAUUGAAAGAUGCCUGUAAUUUAACUGAUGAUUACAAUUAUGACUACGACACUAUUUAUUCACACCACCCAGACUCAGGUAUUGUGUCAGAUGAUACUCAUACGUACGCUGAAAGUAAUCUAUCAAGUACAGGCAUUUCAGACUUUUGUUCCGACAUUGAAAAAAGGCCAGUUGAUAGUGUUAAAAUGAAUGAUAGCUCAGUAAAUACUAAUAUUGUUGAAGAAAUAGUUGACACUUGUGCUCAAACGACACCUGAAGAUUUACAUCAUCAACCAACACCGAUUAAUAAAUGUUGUACGUCAAAACAAUGUAAUAACAAUAUAAUCAAGCAAGUAAAUAGUAAAAAAAAUCAAGAUUGCUGCCGACCAAUUUUAGUAACUCCUCGUCUUUGUAAACAGCCAGUUGUAGUGAAUGAACACUGUCAUAUCGCAGAAGAAGCUCCAAGUGAAACACACAAAUGCACUCAAGAAUCAUCUUCGUGCAAAGGAGAUAAUCAUGAAAAAAACAUUAUUUCUAUUUCGGUACCUGAUACAAUUAAUAUUACUAUUGAGUCUUCAAAUAUUUCAGAGUCAAAGCUUAGAUUAUUUGAUAGUAAUAAAGAACUUAAACUUAAAAAUGCUGAAGUCCAAACGGAUAAGAGAGAUAUCAAUGAAAUCGGUACUUUGACUGAUAUUAAUAUCAGCGGAAUACACGUUAAAGAUUCGUGGACAAGUUCACGGAGUAAUAGUCAUGCAGAUACUAAAACAUUUAGGAUUGAAAAUAUAUUUCAAGACCCACAUGAUACUGUUGCCAAAUCUUCAAAAGUCGAGGGAUAUUCUGAUGGAGCUAAUUGUUCAAUUGUUUAUCCCGAAAAAACAUCGUUUGUAGAAACUAACAAAGAAGAUGACGCUUAUCAUAAUUGUAAAACAUCCUUAAGUUCAUUAGAAGCAAGAAGAAAGUCAUUGACCAGUGAGUGGCUUAGAAAUCGUAAUACUUGGUCCAAUCAAAAAUACAACUGUAGCCUGGAUCAGCAAACAAAUGCAGAACCAGUGUCUUUACCUCCAGAAAUUCAUUAUAAAUCGAAAUUUACGGGACAAUCAAAAAAUAUUCCGGAAAUUCUUUCAUGGAAAGAUUUACAUAAUGGCCAGUCUCAUAAUGAUGAUACCAAAAAAUGGAACCGAUCUCAACUGAUUGUUAAUGAUCACAAAACGUCAAAUCGUAUAACACCAAAAAGCUUAAAAAUUGAUGGAAAUAUACAUUACCCUACAAAAAUAAGGCAUAAUUACAGAGAUAUUUAUGAGCAAGAUAUAAACUUUUCAGAUGAUAGCCUCGAUUUCAAAGAAAAGCAAAGAAAUUCGAUUUCGAAUGAAAUUAAAGCAUCAGAAAUAAAUCGCGAAAUGAAAGAUAAUUUUAAUGACAAUGCGUGUCCUCCGGAUAUUGUUGUUCAUGCAAAAAAAGAUACUAUUGAUCCGUUGACAUUUUCAGAUAAUAUUAUUUUAGAUGAUUUCGAUGAUAAGUAUAUAGAGUUACCAAAAAAAAUAGGGAUACGAUUUAACGAAAUACCUACGCGAGAAAUUAAAUCAAUUUUUUACCAUGUUCCUUUGAUACCAAUUGUAUUUUCUGAAAACGGAAUGAAAAAUAUCAAUAAUAGUAAUACAGAUAAUGUCGAAGCUGCUACUGCUUUACCGAAGCCAAUUAUGAAAAAUAGUAUGAAUUUUUCAAAAACUGCAAGUUCUGUAAGUAUUAAUGAAUCUCGGUCAGAUUCAGAUUGCAAAAAAGUUAGCUUUGUUAUGCCCGAAAAUUUUUCAAAUAUUAGUGACACUGAACGCGAAGAUGCGCACGGUAACAAAAAUUCAAAAAAUGGAAAACGAAAUCUUUUUGAAGAAUAUCUUGAAGAAGCUAUAGUUUUCAUGCGAAACAUUAAUUCAAUAAAUUCUGAUGAAAAAUCUGAUAGUACAUUACUACCUAAUCGCGGAAGUAAUAAUUUAAAGUACAAUGAAACCUGUAAUUCGGAGCACAAAAAAGUAAAUCACCAUACAAACGAUGAUUGCGAUUUAAAAACUGAUUGCUAUGAAGAAAAAUGUUCAAGUAAUUUAGGAAAAUUUGGACACUUUUCAAAACCCGAUAAAUCUGCUGAGACUAAAUCUUAUUUAGCCAAAUUCAGUUCAGAUAAUGUAAAUAGUAGUUCGUCAUCGUGUUCAAGAUUACGAAGUUUUUCAAGUGUUGAUGACCUUCAUUGGGACCACAAGCUUGAAAACAACGCCUACUCUAGAAGUGAAUGUUAUAACAGUAAAUUUAGCAGAGUUAUUGAUGAUGACAAAUACUUUCAUCAGUUACCUAAUGCAGGUACCAAUAAAGUUCAUAUAAAUAUUGACAAUUCAAGAGAAGCGAACUCAUCAGAUUUAAAAAACUAUAGUAAUCAUGGGAGAAUACGAAACAAUAAUACGCCUAAAAUGAAGAAACGUAGUCGUUCAGAAUUUUCUGUAAGACCUAAAGCAGAUUGUAGUUUUAAUAAAAAAGUUGUUACAUUUGAUGAAAAUAAUUUACAUUUACAUAAAAAAUUAACGAAUAAUGAAAGUUCUCUUAUUGCGAAAGGAAGGAAAUCACUAGCACAUCCACGUUGUAGUAUAUCAAAAUACGACUCUGCAAAUGAAAAUUCAAGUUCAAAUGAAGCACUUGCUAAUUUUAUGGAGUCGAUUGACGAAGCGUCGAGAUUUAAAGAUAAAAUUAGAUUUCCUUGUAGUCCAAGAUUAAAGUUUUUACAAUUACUCAGCGAGAGACGGAAAAUUGUUGAGGAUACCCGUAAUACCAGUAUUUCUUGAGCUGAUUUUUUAAAGUCACAAAUUGAAAGAAAAAAAGUUUAUAAAACCAAGUCAUCAAUAAGACAAAAAAAUAUUUUCUUGCAUGCAAAUAAUGACGUAAUUUUUUAUAAUUAAGUAAAUCGUGCAGUACUAAAAAACAUCUCAAGUAAUUGGUUUAGGACUUAUAUAAAAAAUACAACAAAUCAAUUCAAUGAAUACAUAAUAUCAAACACCAAAUGGAACAUGUUUUUUAAAAAAAUCAACAAAGAUUUAAAUGAAUGUAUAAUAUUGAUAGAGUAAAUAUUCAAAAUAAUAACAAUAUAAAUGAAAGUAAAACAUCGAGAAUAAAUACGAUAAAGUAAAUAAAUCUGUAAAAUAUAUGAAAUAUUUUAUUUUAUCGUAUUAAUUCGGUAUAUACUUAUAUUUUUGUAUAUUAUUAAAUUGGUAGUAAUUAUUAAAAUAAAAUAAGUACCAAAGAUAAUUAAAACUGUUCAUAACAAAGAAUUUAUCGUUUAGAAAAGUAAUUUUUAAAACUUAUUAUUAAAUAAUAAUCUUUGUUGAUAAUUAAUCAUACGCACAUUUAAGACAGUAAUUACUUUUACCAAAAAAUAAUUGAGUUCAAUUUAAAAAGUACAUUAUUGUAUUAAUUUUUCUACAAGCAAUUAAUUUUUUUGCUAGUAGUAAUUAUAUUGCAAUUAAAAAACACUUUGAGUAAGAAAAAAGUUGAAUUAUCUUGCACAGAGCAAUUAAUAAAAAAUAAUUAUAUACGUUAUUUAUUAAUAAAAAUUUAAUUUUUAUAUGAAAAAAAAAAAGUGAUAAUAAUUUUUUUUGACCGGAAUGAAGAGAACAAAUUGACAGAUAGUUUACUAUUUAAAUGAUUUAAAUUAAACGAGUCAAAAAGUAUCUAUAGAAGUUGUAAUAAUUUAAAGAUACUUAAGCAAUCUCGAGUAACAAGAUGUCAAUCAUAUAAAUUCUGUAGAAAAUAAGAUAUAGUCUUGCUUUCUCAGCAUCGUCUAAAACCAACCAUCCUUAAAAACCUGUUCACUUUUGAAUGAGCAGGUGUUUCAUUCCAAUUACUUCAACGGCUAAGAUAAUUUAUUUUUUUCGACUUAUUUGUUUUAUACCUGGACUAAAUAAGACACCACUGUCUAAUUCAUCAUCGAGCGAGAGUAGCGUGCAGAAAAGGAAUCAUCGGUAAUAUAUACCCUAAACUGGAAGAGAGUAAUUACCUUAAUUACAUCGUUGCAACCGGCUCCUCGUAAUGAAGCCAUUAGUAGGAAUGCAUUUAGCUAGUGUAUUUCUCUCUGGCACGUACACAGCAUUUGCGCUUUGUUUACUGCAUUAAAUUUUGUUAAAUCAAGGUGAAUCCUCUAUUUCAUUAGAAUCAUUAAUGUUGCAGUACCAUUAUAUGUCAACAUUUGAAAAGUCAAGUCAGAACUGGAAGCAGAGCAUCUGUCGGACAUUAGACGGACGCACACCACACGCUACAUACAUGUGAUGUUUCGUCCCAUCAGUGAUACAGGAGGAGGAGCACUCUCUUUUUAAAAUCCUAGAACUAUUCAACGAAAUUUUGUUAUAAUUCUCGUUUGAAAGUAUUUCCAAGCUGAAAAAUAGUUAGAAAUAAUUUUUCGACUUUUAAAAUAUGGACAUAUGUUGAAAACAAAAUUUUCUAUACACAGAUGCCUUUUUCUUAAAAUUCCGAAUUUUUCAAGAAGGAAGUAAAAUAAAUUUUUAGAAAUUAAAUAAAAGAAAAUAAAUAUAAAAAGUUUCAUCUCAAGUUUCACGUAUCACGAAUAAAAACAAAUAAAAAAAAUAUAAAAAUACUAUAAUGUUCAGUUUGUUUCUUCAUGUGCCAUAUAUAUACGUUAUAUAUUCAUGUAAAAUGUCUGGUUUGUUUCUAAAAUUUUAAAAUGUCAAGAAAAUUCUUUGAAUUUAAAAUUUAACAUCCCCAUGCUUGCACAAGUGAGCGGUCUUAUAGAGCACUCAGCAUGCAUCACAGACAGGUGGUUUUCAACGCUGUGAUUUCGACAGCCCAAGAAGGCUCCCUUCAAAUUUGAAAGUCGACUCGGUCGUCCCUAACACGUGGUCGACAUAAAACAACUGACACCCGGCAACAAAGUCAUUUCACAACUGUUUUCUAUUGACAACUUAAUGACUAGUUUUCCACAGUAAAUUAUUAUUAUAAAUGGUUUUUGAAAUUUCACGAAAUUAUAACUGCAAAUUUUAAAGAUAAGUACUUUGAACCGUAUACUUAAAAAAAUAAAUGGUUUAAAAAUUAUAAAAAUACACUAGAUAAAUUAUUAGUGACAACUUUAUCCGUUGUUUGCAUUUGCAGAUACUUUAAAAUAAAAAACAAAAAACUUUAUUUAUAUUCUAGUAGUAGCUUUCAAUGGUAGAGAAUAAUUAUAUUAAUAUCGAUAUAACUUUGAUAUAAAUAUAUUUUUGUAUCCAGGUGAAUGUUCCAAUCAUUGGCCAUAUCUCAAUUAUCGAUUAUCUGAUUUAUUUCUCAUAAAUAAAAGAGCUUAGAAGUUAAACUAUAUAGAUAUCAACAACACUGAUAAAUUUUCCAAUUAUUCUGCACUAUAGCCUCGCUGACCUGAUUCGAGCUUUAGAAAAAAUUUUAAUUCUCAUAAAAUAAAUCUGUUGUAAUAAAUACUAAUAUUUACAAUAAUAAAAUACAAUUAAAUUUUCAACGAAUCA